UACGUAGGGUGCGAGCGUUAAUCGGAAUUACUGGGCGUAAAGCGUGCGUAGGCGGUUCGCUGUGUCCGAUGUGAAAGCCCCGGGCUUAACCUGGGAAUGGCAUUGGAAACUGGCGGGCUUGAGUGCGGCAGAGGGGGGUGGAAUUCCGCGUGUAGCAGUGAAAUGCGUAGAGGUGCGGAGGAACACCGAUGGCGAAGGCAGCCCCCUGGGUCGACACUGACGCUCAGGCACGAAAGCGUGGGGAGCAAACAGG
rnacentral:rRNA from 1 species